UCGAUUGUAGGUUAUUUGAAAGAUGCUUUAUUUAAGAUUGAAAAGACAAUUACAAGGAGAUUUGACCGAGUUUGUACAGGAGAUGAGUAUUUCGGCAAGAACAAAAAGAUUAAUGUAAACCCUACCUCUUAUGGCGAAAAAAUUAGAAAUUUUCGAAUGAAUCUAUCUCGGUCCUAAAAGUCUUUCUUUUAUAUGUAUCCUCUUUCUUUUUUCUCAUAAGUUGGCCUAACUUUGUGCUGAAUGCCUAAUUGGGUCGACAUCUCUUGACCUGGGCCGGAUUAUGUCUAUUUGAUAACCAUUAUUAGAGGGAUGUGAUUCAUUUCGAACAAACCUCAAUUGUCAAUAUAUAUUGGUAAACAAGCUGUCUUCAUAUAGAGUGCCACCUUAUCCAAUCUAACAAUACUAAAAGCACAAUAUACUCAAUGGUAAGGGUGUCCACGUCAGCCAAAUAUUCAGUACCAAUCAAAUUGACACAUCAGAAAAACAAUUGAUUUUUACAACCUUUAUUGACUUAAAUUUUUCUUAUCCCCACGAAUCUCUUUGGUUCCUACCUGCAAUUUUUACACCGGUUUAUUCCUCAUUUAGUUGCAUUAAUAAAUUCAACGCUAUGACCUUACGAUUCCGUUUUUCAACUCAUUCCCUAUUUGAUAUAAAUAUAGAGUGAUGGCGGUGAAGUUCAAUCCCUAAUCAUAACUGUUGGGUACUACCGCCGUACGAAGUUGGUGGGUUCAACGAAAGCUUCACCCUUUCUGAAUAAAUGGCGACUCCUUUAGGCUCACUGCAGGAAAUUGGUUUGAAGGGCGUAUGAAUCAGAAACCGUGAAAUAAUAAAUAUGCUAUCAAUCAAAAUCUUUACAUCGCCUUGGUGAGACUUUUUCUUUUAUUUGCUUCAAGAAUUUGAAAUUGCGAAAGCAUGUUUCGUGAAGCGGUGGACUCUCUUUUACAUGAUGUCUAUUCCAUUUGCUCAUAACUCUACAUCUAUUGUAUUCUUGGGAACAGCGAUGGUCAAAAUAUUGGUGAAUGUGGAAGUUUGAUAAAAGGAAAAUUAGUUACAUCGUAUAGUUUGUGAUCUUCUUUUUGAUCUGACAUUUGUUGGUCAAACUCUUUCAUGGAAGCUCUUAUGUCUUUGGGGAAGAUAAUGGCACUGGAGGAGUCUUUUGCUGGAUGUUUAGCGGAAAGAUCCGGGAAAAGUCGUAUCUUCAACAUUCUUUGCAAUCAAUUAUGUAUUUUUAAAUCCUUAGCAUAUUUGACAUGCUUGUGUUUUGGGUUACUCUUACUUUUUUUGAGAGCCAUAGAUAUAAGCUUCUUACUCUGUUUUGAUCUUGACAGGAAAAUUGAGAAAGUGUAGAAAUUCAGUUUGUGGAUUACAUCCGGUUAGUGUUUCCUUCUCUUCAGUUUAUCAGUCGACGUGAUCUACAUCUAAGUCAUGUAUCAAAUUCAUGUUUUGCUGUUCUCAUGUAUUGAGUGUUGAGGUUAGGAUGAUGAGCUACACCAACCAAAUCAGAAGGAGAGCUGAGGAGGCAGGUCAUCUGUUCUGAAACAAUUUAGCAUCACUUUAGGAUUGUAGAAUAGUCACCGCUUUGUUUUUAGUAUCUCAAAACUGACCUAGAUUCUAUGAUUUUUCUUUUGAAGUUAUUCUAUGACAUAUAUAUAUCUAUCAUAUUUUUUUUUAACUGUUUACUAAGCUCUCAAAAGUUUCCUACCACAAAAUUUAAAAUUGUCCCCUAAUUUCUAGGUAAAGUAACUUACAAAAUCUUAACUUCCUUUGAAUUCUAUGUAUGUUUAAUGUUCGAUGGAUAUUUUUUUUGCAGUUGAGGGCUCUCCUACAAAAAUAUCCGACAUUGAAUAGACUCUCAAGAAGCGCUACUGCAGCUUAACAAGACAAAGGAAGAGGUCAUCCUACUCAAAUUGUUCCUCCACCUUUGCCCCAAAUGUUUUGAAGGAUUCGUGAUGGUUUGACACAGUUAUAUGCGAACGACACUGCUCUUACUGAUAAACAAGAACUCGAUGUUUCAUUAAUAGUACAGUUCCCGAACCAAAUUAAGUUUGAAAUAUUGUAAAUAAUAGAUACAAGUCUGUUUCGAAUCAGAAACAAUUUGUCGUA